rnacentral:rRNA from 1 species
GAUGAACGCUGGCGGCGUGCCUAAUACAUGCAAGUCGAGCGAACAGACGCUGAUCUUGCUCCUCUGUCGUUUGCGGCGGACGUGUGAGUAACACGUGGAUAACCUACCUAUAUUUCUGGGAUAACUUCGGGAAACCGGCGCUAAUCCCGUAUAAUCUCUUGCUCCGCAUGGUUCAAUAGUGAAUGUCGGUUUUUCUGUCUCUUAUAGAUGGAUCCGCGCCGCAUUAGCUAGUUGGUAAGGUAACGGCUUACCAAGGCAACGAUGCGUAGCCGACGGGAGAGGGUGAUCGGCCACACUGGAAGUGAGACACGGACAAGAGUCCUACGGGAGGAAGCAGAAGGGAAUGGGCCGCAAUGGGGGAAAGCAUGACGGAGCAAGGCGGAGUGAGAGAUGAAGGUGUUGGGAGCGGAAAACUCUGUUAUGAGGGAAGAACAAAUGUGGAAGUAAAUAAGCAGGUAGUGACGGUAACGAAUCAGAAAGCCACGGCUAACUACGUG